GUAGCUGGUUCCUUCCGA
rnacentral:rRNA from 1 species